rnacentral:rRNA from 1 species
UACGUAGGGUGCAAGCGUUGUCCGGAAUUAUUGGGCGUAAAGAGCUUGUAGGCGGUUUGUCGCGUCUGCUGUGAAAUUUCGGGGCUCAACCCCGAACUUGCAGUGGGUACGGGCAGACUAGAGUGUGGUAGGGGAGACUGGAAUUCCUGGUGUAGCGGUGAAAUGCGCAGAUAUCAGGAGGAACACCCGUAGCGAAGGCGGCACUCUGGGCCGAUACUGACACUGAGGAGCGAAAGCGUGGGGAGCGAAACAGG